AGUGAACGCUGGCGGUAGGCCUAACACAUGCAAGUCGAACGGCAGCACAGUAAGAGCUUGCUCUUACGGGUGGCGAGUGGCGGACGGGUGAGGAAUACAUCGGAAUCUACUUUUUCGUGGGGGAUAACGUAGGGAAACUUACGCUAAUACCGCAUACGACCUACGGGUGAAAGCAGGGGAUCUUCGGACCUUGCGCGAUUGAAUGAGCCGAUGUCGGAUUAGCUAGUUGGGGGGGUAAAGGCCCACCAAGGCGACGAUCCGUAGCUGGUCUGAGAGGAUGAUCGGCCACACUGGAACUGAGACACGGUCCAGGCUACUACGGGAGGCAGCAGUGGGGAAUAUUGGACAGUGGGCGCAAGCCUGAUCCAGCCAGACCGCGUGGGUGAAGAAGGCCUUCGGGUUGUAAAGCCCUUUUGUUGGGAAAGAAAAGCAGCAGGUUAAUACCCAGCUGUUCUGACGGUACCCAAAGAAUAAGCACCGGCUAACUUCGUG
rnacentral:rRNA from 1 species